GUGCUCGCUUCAGCAGCACAUAUACUGAAAUUGGAACGAUACAGAGUAGAUUAGCAUGGCCCCUGCACAAGGAUGACAUGCAAAUUGGUGAAGCACUCCAUAUUUUU
rnacentral:snRNA from 1 species